ACUGACUAAUGGAAACAAAAAAACUAUAUCAUCCCUUCGACAUGUAGACAAUCUAGCAGCAAGCUAUCCUCCCAACGAUCAUUCACUUUGGCGACAAAAAAAAUGAAUAUGGUGAAUCAAUGAGGAAGCAGAACGGACCUCACCCUCAUGAAUUCUCCUGCAUCUUUCUCUCCAAAUGCUACUUACAACAUACCCCCAAAUCAGCCUUUUUGUGUUAACCCUUGCUGAUUUCCCUUUCCAAUUUGCGCCGACCUAGCGGAGAUGGGUGUCCCAAUCCCCUAAAUGAUGGAGCUCAGGAAGAAGCGCCAAG
rnacentral:lncRNA from 1 species